GCACAAGCGGCGGAGCAUGCGGAUUAAUUCGAUGCAACGCGAAGAACCUUACCAAGGCUUGACAUACACCGGUAACGCCCAGAGAUGGGUGCCCCUUUGUGGUCGGUGUACAGGUGGUGCAUGGUUGUCGUCAGCUCGUGUCGUGAGAUGUUGGGUUAAGUCCCGCAACGAGCGCAACCCUCGUCCUAUGUUGCCAGCGGGUCAUGCCGGGGACUCAUGGGAGACUGCCGGGGUCAACUCGGAGGAAGGUGGGGAUGACGUCAAAUCAUCAUGCCCCUUAUGACCUGGGCUACACACGUGCUACAAUGGGCGGUACAAAGGGUCGCGAACCCGCGAGGGGGAGCCAAUCCCAAAAAGCCGCUCUCAGUUCGGAUUGCAGGCUGCAACUCGCCUGCAUGAAGCCGGAAUCGCUAGUAAUCGCGGAUCAGCACGCCGCGGUGAAUACGUUCCCGGGCCUU
rnacentral:rRNA from 1 species